rnacentral:rRNA from 1 species
GUGCGAAGGUAGCAUAAUCAUUUGUCUUUUAAUUGAAGACUUGUAUGAAUGGUUGAACGAGAAAAUAACUGUCUCUUUAAAAAAUCUUGAAUUUUACUUUUAAGUGAAAAGGCUUAAAUAAUUUUAAGGGACGAUAAGACCCUAUAAAUCUUUAUAUUAUUUUUCUUUAACUUUCAAAUUAUAUUUUAAAAGAAACAAAAGAAAAAAAUAUUAUAUUGGGGAGAUAAAAAUAUAAUUUUUUUUAACUGUUUUAAAUAUAAAACAAUAAUUUUUGAUUUAUUAAAAAAUUGAUCCUUUUUAAAGAUUUUAAAAUUAAGUUACUUUAGGGAUAACAGCGUAAUUUUUUUUGAGAGUUCUUAUCGAAAAAAA